UAUCCAGACUCCUACGGGAGGCAGCAGUGGGGAAUAUUGCACAAUGGGGGAAACCCUGAUGCAGCGACGCCGCGUGAGCGAUGAAGUAUUUCGGUAUGUAAAGCUCUAUCAGCAGGGAAGAAGAUGACGGUACCUGACUAAGAAGCCCCGGCUAACUACGUGCCAGCAGCCGCGGGAAUACGUAGGGGGCAAGCGUUAUCCGGAUUUACUGGGUGUAAAGGGAGCGUAGACGGCGAUGCAAGCCAGAUGUGAAAGCCCGGGGCUCAACCCCGGGACUGCAUUUGGAACUGUGUGGCUGGAGUGUCGGAGAGGCAGGCGGAAUUCCUAGUGUAGCGGUGAAAUGCGUAGAUAUUAGGAGGAACACCAGUGGCGAAGGCGGCCUGCUGGACGAUGACUGACGUUGAGGCUCGAAAGCGUGGGGAGCAAACAGGAUUAGAUACCCUCGUAGA
rnacentral:rRNA from 1 species